GACGAACGCUGGCGGCGUGCCCAAUACAUGCAAGUCGAGCGGACUUGACAGAGCUUGCUCUGUUCAAGUUAGCGGCGGACGGGUGAGUAACACGUGGGCAACCUGCCCUGCAGAUUGAAUAACUCCGGGAAACCGGGGCUAAUACCGAAUAACAUUGAAAACCUCAUGGUUUUCUUUUAAAAGGCGGCUUCGGCUGUCACCGCAGGAUGGGCCCGCGGCGCAUUAGCUAGUUGGUGAGGUAACGACUCACCAAGGCGACGAUGCGUAGCCGACCUGAGAGGGUGAUCGGCCACACUGGGACUGAGACACGGCCCAGACUCCUACGGGAGGCAGCAGUAGGGAAUCUUCCGCAAUGGACGAAAGUCUGACGUAGCAACGCCGCGUGAGUGAAGAAGGUUUUCGGAUCGUAAAACUCUGUUGUUAGGGAAGAACAAGUAUCGGAGUAACUGCCGGUACCUUGACGGUACCUGACCAGAAAGCCACGGCUAACUACGUGCCAGCAGCCGCUGUAACAC
rnacentral:rRNA from 1 species